rnacentral:ncRNA from 1 species
AUGGCGUAACCGAAAAGCCAAAAAUAGAGUAGGAC